rnacentral:rRNA from 1 species
UACGGGGGGAGCAAGCGUUGUUCGGAUUUACUGGGCGUAAAGGGCGCGUAGGCGGCGUGACAAGUCACUUGUGAAAUCUCUGGGCUUAACCCAGAACGGCCAAGUGAAACUGUUGUGCUAGAGUGCAGAAGGGGCAACUGGAAUUCUCGGUGUAGCGGUGAAAUGCGUAGAUAUCGAGAGGAACACCUGCGGCGAAGGCGGGUUGCUGGGCUGACACUGACGCUGAGGCGCGAAAGCUAGGGGAGCGAACGGG